GCAUAGACAUACUGAUUGAGAAGGAAUAUCUGGAGCGAGUGGAAGGACAGAAGGACACCUACAGUUACCUGGCCUGAGUAUCACUGGCUUCUAUCUUAAUGUACAAUAUUAAUACAAAACAGGAGUUACCGCCCCUAGGUGAUGUAAUCACCACAUGUUUAGCAGCUGAUUGACACCCCAGUUGUGUGACACGCCCACCUGGAACUCCCAGUUUUGUGUUGGAUGUUCAUUAUGAGACCAUCACUGCUUUAUCUGACCCUCCCUGUGUCUUUAAUAUAAAGGGAAGAAUAUCAUUUGAUUUCUGACAUCAUAAGGGGACCUAGGUUCCUCGGUGAUUGUACAAAGAAAUACUAUUUAUUGACUUCACACUGUACUUUUUUACUUUCUGAAGAACAGAUGAUUUCUGUAGACAUUGGUGCCGUCAGUUCUGAUUCCCAGGAAUUUGUUCUGGGGGAGAUAAAAAUAGAUAAAGUGCUUGCCACAGAAACUUCAAAGACUGAAUCUGUGCAUUAUUGAUUCUGUGCAUUAAGUUUGUAUAUUGUUGGACAUACAGAUUUGACAUAAUUUCUUUUUGUUAAUCUAAUUUUAAUUUUAAUCAUAGUUAACAUAGCAUAUUGUUUUUAAGCCAUGUUUGAAAAGUGAGAAUUUAUAAAUGUGCAUUGCCUUGUGAUAAUAUGUAUAGAUCACUGUGUUAUAUAUGUAUGUGUUAAGCCGGGGAAGAGACGCACAUGUAACAACUUAAUUAUUUUAAAAGUACACAAUUCAAUCCCAUGGAGAUACUAUCAAUUCUUGAAUUGAUUUCAGUGAUUUUUCAUGUUGCUUCAUAAAAUGUAGAUGUUUUCUUUCCUGAUAAUGGAAGAAUGUAAAUGUACUUUUUGAUUGAUUUAAAUAUAAAAGUGAAAGUUUAAUUUCAUCCAAACAGUGAAGUUGAAAGAAUAAAUAGUUUGCUAAGUUU